AUUAUUAUUAUUUCUAUUAUUAUUUUAUCAAGGUGGAGAGUCUAUGUUGAGAGUGGUAGCCUGGAUAUAUCCUGGGAUUGUAAAUCUAAUCUAGAUGAAUCUUGUUCAGCCUCCUCGCAGUGUAAUAAUAAGAACACUGAGUGUGUGUAUGGAGAGGGCAGGAUUGGAAAAUGCGUUUGCUCUGGGUUCUACCACCAGUACAUGGGUACAUAUCCAGGAUCUACCACCAGUACAUGGGUACAUAUCUAGGAUCUACCACCAGUACAUGGGUACAUAUCUAGGAUCUACCACCAGUAGAUGGUACAUAUCUAGGUUCUACCGGCCACCAGUUCAUGGGUACAUAUCCAGGAUCUACCACCUGUACAUGGGUACAUAUCUCUAGGUUCUACCACCAGUACAUAGGUACAUAUCUAGGUUCUGCCACCAGUACAUGAGUACAUAUCUAGGUUCAACCACCAGUUCAUGGGUUCAUAUCCAGGCUCUAUCAGAAGUACAUGGGUGGAUAUCUAGGCUCUGCCACCGGUACAUGGGUACACAUCUAGGUUCUACCACCAGUAUAUGGGUACAUAUCUAGGCUCUACCACCAGUACAUGGGUACAUAUCUAGGCUUUAACACCAGUACAUGGGUACAUAUCUUGGCCUUACCACCAGUUCAUGGGUACAUAUAUAGGUUCUGCCACCAGUACAUGAGUACAUAUCUAGGUUCUGCCACCAGUACAUGAGUACAUAUCUAGGCUCUACCACAAGUUCAUGGGUACAUAUCCAGGCUCUAUCAGAAGUACAUGGGUAC